rnacentral:siRNA from 1 species
UGUUUGUUUCUUGUGCUUAUC